ACGAACGCUGGCGGCAUGCCUAACACAUGCAAGUCGAACGAUUGCCUUCGGGUGAUAGUGGCGCACGGGUGCGUAACGCGUGGGAAUCUGCCCUUUGCUUCGGAAUAACAGUUAGAAAUGACUGCUAAUACCGGAUGAUGACUUCGGUCCAAAGAUUUAUCGGCAAGGGAUGAGCCCGCGUAGGAUUAGGUAGUUGGUGGGGUAAAGGCCUACCAAGCCGACGAUCCUUAGCUGGUCUGAGAGGAUGAUCAGCCACACUGGGACUGAGACACGGCCCAGACUCCUACGGGAGGCAGCAGUGGGGAAUAUUGGACAAUGGGCGAAAGCCUGAUCCAGCAAUGCCGCGUGAGUGAUGAAGGCCUUAGGGUUGUAAAGCUCUUUUACCCGGGAUGAUAAUGACAGUACCGGGAGAAUAAGCUCCGGCUAACUCCGU
rnacentral:rRNA from 1 species